rnacentral:rRNA from 1 species
GACCGGCAAACGGGUGCGGAACACGUACGCAACCUUCCCAAAACAGGUGAAUAGCCCUCCGAAAGGAGGAUUAAUACACCGUAUUAUAUAGAGAUGGCAUCAUUUUUAUAUUAAAGGCAUUCGUGCCGGUUAUGGAUGGGCGUGCGCCUGAUUAGGUAGUUGGCGGGGUAACGGCCCACCAAGCCUUCGAUCAGUAACUGGUGUGAGAGCACGACCAGUCACACGGGCACUGAGACACGGGCCCGACUCCUACGGGAGGCAGCAGUAAGGAAUAUUGGUCAAUGGACGAAAGUCUGAACCAGCCAUGCCGCGUGAAGGAUGAAGGCCCUCUGGGUUGUAAACUUCUUUUAUCUGGGACGAAAAAAGGGAAUUCUUUCUCACUUGACGGUACCAGAGGAAUAAGCACCGGCUAACUCCGUGCCAGCAGCCGCGGUAAUACGGAGGGUGCAAGCGUUAUCCGGAUUUACUGGGUUUAAAGGGUGCGUAGGUGGGUAGGUAAGUCAGUGGUGAAAUCUCCGGGCUUAACCCGGAAACUGCCAUUGAUACUAUUUAUCUUGAAUACUUUGGAGGUAAGCGGAAUAUGUCAUGUAGCGGUGAAAUGCUUAGAUAUGACAUAGAACACCAAUUGCGAAGGCAGCUUACUACACAGUGAU